AUACGUAGGUGACAAGCGUUAUCCGGAUUUACUGGGCGUAAAGGGCGUGUAGGCGGUCUUGCAAGUCAGAAGUGAAAUUCCUGAGCUCAACUCGGGCGCUGCUUCUGAAACUGCAGGACUUGAGUGCUGGAGGGGAUAGCGGAAUUCCUAGUGGAGCGGUAAAAUGCGCAGAUAUUAGGAAGAACACCGGUGGCGAAGGCGGUGAUGUGGACAUUAAGUGAGGCUAAGGCGCGAAAGCGUGGGGAAAAAACAGGAUUAUAUACCCUGGGAGUCCGCGCCGUAAACGAUGAAUACUAGGUGUAGGGGGUAUCGACUCCCUCUGUGCCGCAGUUAACACAAUAAGUAUUCCGCCUGGGGAGUACGGCCGCAAGGUUGAAACUCAAAUGAAUUGGCGGG
rnacentral:rRNA from 1 species